GAUGAACGCUGGCGGCGUGCCUAAUACAUGCAAGUCGAGCGAACAGACGAGGAGCUUGCUCCUCUGACGUUAGCGGCGGACGGGUGAGUAACACGUGGAUAACCUACCUAUAAGACUGGGAUAACUUCGGGAAACCGGCGCUAAUACCGGAUAAUAUAUUGCACCGCAUGGUUCAAUAGUGAAAGACGGUUUUGCUGUCACUUAUAGAUGGAUCCGCGCCGCAUUAGCUGGUUGUUAAGGUAACGGCUUACCAGGGCAACGAUGCGUAGCCGACGUGAGAGAGUGGUAGGCGACCUGGGAGCUGAGACGCGGUCAAGGCUCCUACGGGAGGCAGCAGUAGGCAAUGGGACGCAGUGGGCGAAAGCAUUGCGGAGCAAGGCCGAGUGAGUGAUAGCGGCCUUCGGAUCGUGAUACUGUGUUAUGAGGGAAGAACAAAUGUGUAAGUAGCUAUGCACGUCGUGACGGUACUUGAUCAGAAAGCAACGGCUAACUACGUG
rnacentral:rRNA from 1 species